AGGGUUUACUCCUGACUCUGUGCUCAGAAAUUGCUCCUGACUAGAGAAGAUUAACAUGGCCCCUACACAAGGAUGAUAUGCAAAUUCGUGAAGCAUUCCAUAUUUAU